AUUUAUAUUAAAUGGCUGCAGUAUUUUGACUGUACAAAGGUAGCAUAAUCAUUUGUCUUUUAAUUGAAGACUAGUAUGAAUGGUUGGAUGAAAAAUAUACUUUCUUAUUUUUAUACCAAAAAAUUGAUUUUUUAUUUAAAAAGAUAAAAUGAUGUUAAAGGACGAGAAGACCCUAUAGAACUUUAUUUUUAUAAUAUAUUUACUUUUUAUAAAAUUAUAGGUUAAUAUAUGAUUAUUAAUUUUGUUGGGGUGACAAAAAAAAUUUAAUAACUUUUUUUUAUAUAAACAUUUAUGUAUGUGAUUAUGAUCCUAUAUUAUAGAUUAAAAGACUAAGUUACCUUAGGGAUAACAGCGUUAUUUCUCUGGAGAGAACAUAUCGAUGGGGAAGUUUGCGACCUCGAUGUUGGAUUAAAAUAAGUUGCAGGAGUAGAAUAUUGUUUUACUAGGUCUGUUCGACCUUUAAUUUUUUACAUGAUUAGUUUUUAAC
rnacentral:rRNA from 1 species